UACAGAGGUCUCAAGCGUUGUUCGGAUUUACUGGGCGUAAAGGGCGCGUAGGCGGGAUGGCAAGUCGGUCGUGAAAUCCUUCGGCUCAACCGAAGAACGUCGGCCGAUACUGCCGUUCUUGAGGGAUGCAGAGGAGAUUGGAAUUCCCGGUGUAGCGGUGAAAUGUGUAGAGAUCGGGAGGAACACCGGUGGCGAAGGCGGGGUCUCUGGGCAUCUCCUGACGCUGAGGCACGAAGGCCAGGGGAGCAAACAGG
rnacentral:rRNA from 1 species